rnacentral:misc_RNA from 1 species
AAAGUCGUAACAAGGGUUUUCCCGUAGGUGAACCUGCGGAAGGAUCAAUUACAAAAUAAAGCUGGUAGGAAGUGGGGGUCUUGAUCUGUAAGUGGUAGAGCUGAACAGUCCGGCUGCCUCCCGAAACUGUCUUACAUGUCCCCCACGCCUGAAGGCCGAAUUACAACCUUGAUUAUCUCACUUGUUGCUUGGGGGGUGCUCAAGUCCCCAGAGGACCCAACUCUCUGCAUUUAGUGACGUCUGAGUACUAUAUAAUAUUUAAAA